GACGAACGCUGGCGGCGUGCUUAACACAUGCAAGUCGAACGGAAAGUCCCUGCUUUUUUGGGGUGCUCGAGUUGCGACCGGGUGAGUAACACGUGAGUUACCUUCCCUUGACUUUGGGAUAACUUCAGGAAGCUGGGGCUAAUACCGGAUAGGAGCUCCUGCUUCAUGGUGGGGUUUGGAAAGUUUCGGCGGUUGGGGAUGUACUCGCGGCGUAUCAGCUUGUUGGUGGGGUAGUGGCUUACCAUGGCUUUUACGGGUAGCCGGCCUGCGGGGGUGACCGGCCACAGUGGGACUGAGAUACGGCACAGACUCCUACGGGAGGCAGCAGUGGGGAAUAUUGCACAAUGGGCGGAAGCCUGACGCAGCAACGCCGCGUGCGGGAUGACGGCAUUCGGGUUGUAAACCGCUUUCGCCUGUGACGAAGCGUGAGUGACGGUAAUGGGUAAAGAAGCACCGGCUAACUACGUG
rnacentral:rRNA from 1 species